rnacentral:rRNA from 1 species
GAGCUUGCUCCCUGGGUGACGAGCGGCGGACGGGUGAGUAAUGUCUGGGAAACUGCCUGAUGGAGGGGGAUAACUACUGGAAACGGUAGCUAAUACCGCAUAACGUCGCAAGACCAAAGAGGGGGACCUUCGGGCCUCUUGCCAUCAGAUGUGCCCAGAUGGGAUUAGCUAGUAGGUGGGGUAAUGGCUCACCUAGGCGACGAUCCCUAGCUGGUCUGAGAGGAUGACCAGCCACACUGGAACUGAGACACGGUCCAGACUCCUACGGGAGGCAGCAGUGGGGAAUAUUGCACAAUGGGCGCAAGCCUGAUGCAGCCAUGCCGCGUGUGUGAAGAAGGCCUUCGGGUUGUAAAGCACUUUCAGCGAGGAGGAAGGUGGUGAGCUUAAUACGCUCAUCAAUUGACGUUACUCGCAGAAGAAGCACCGGCUAACUCCGUGCCAGCAGCCGCGGUAAUACGGAGGGUGCAAGCGUUAAUCGGAAUUACUGGGCGUAAAGCGCACGCAGGCGGUUUGUUAAGUCAGAUGUGAAAUCCCCGGGCUCAACCUGGGAACUGCAUUUGAAACUGGCAAGCUAGAGUCUCGUAGAGGGGGGUAGAAUUCCAGGUGUAGCGGUGAAAUGCGUAGAGAUCUGGAGGAAUACCGGUGGCGAAGGCGGCCCCCUGGACGAAGACUGACGCUCAGGUGCGAAAGCGUGGGGAGC